rnacentral:rRNA from 1 species
UACGUAGGGUGCGGGCGUAAUCGGAAUUACUGGGCGUAAAGCGUGCGCAGGCGGUCUGUUAAGACCGAUGUGAAAUCCCCGGGCUUAACCUGGGAACUGCAUUGGUGACUGGCAGGCUUUGAGUGUGGCAGAGGGAGGUAGAAUUCCACGUGUAGCAGUGAAAUGCGUAGAGAUGUGGAGGAAUACCGAUGGCGAAGGCAGCCUCCUGGGCCAACACUGACGCUCAUGCACGAAAGCGUGGGGAGCAAACAGG